GGAAAAUCUGCCAUCGUCUGAGAAAACUCAAGAUUCCAGUAUUCAAGUUUUGGGUUCUCUUCAGACUUCACAAUUGUGAACUGGGUGGCCAGUGCAACUGGUUACAGAGCUUCCUGGUUGAAGAAUUUGGUGAUUAGGGUUGUAAGCAAUCUAAUUUGACUGUUGAUAGCAUUCGUUUUAUUUUAGAACUCAAAGCCAUCAACAACUUAUUGGCCCUUGCAGUUGGAUUAAAGCAAAACAAAACUGUGAACAUGAUUGUAAAGAAGGUCUUAUCAAGUGCUUCUCAACCAGUUCACUGUUCACCCAAACGACUGCCACCACCAGUUCACCCGAAUCUGAUGAAUCGCGCCGCACCACCAAUAGAAAGAAGGGGGAACGCCUGAACUGGAGAAAGGUACAGUUAGGCUGUUCAAGAUCUUUAUGAAGUUGUCCAUGACAUCCUUUCUAUGGACCCGAGGGAAAACUAUGAGACAUGGAAAUUUUUGUCAAAUGCAAGGACGGAAGGUCGUCUAUUUGCAAAGUUAAAGUGGCCCAAGGACCCUAAGUUGGUAUGUUUGAGCAGAUUACCUGAUCUCCUUAGUUGGGUUUAGAUUUAAUGCUCAGUAUUAUGUUGUGCUUCUGCUGCUUUUUAGUUAUUGAGGAUAUGCAGAGAGUGCAAGUGAAAAGAUUGUAUUCACUGUGUUGAUGCAUUAUUUAUAACGAGAGAUCCAAAAGGAAGGACAGGUUCAAUCUCAAGUGAUGUUGCAGCAAACGAAAUAUCAGACACAACUCUUACUCCAAAGGCUCCCGCCAGAAAUGUAUUAGAUUCCCCAAGCAUUUCUGAAACCAUAUUUAUGGCUGCAAAACAGAGUACUCGAUUGACUUGAGAUCGAAGAGAGAACUCGAAUUAUCAAGUCCAGCAGUAAGUUCCUUGCUGCUCAAGUCCAGACUCGAAACACAACCCUUUUUGCAGGACACUCCUUCCCAAGAGCAGUGAUCUGAGCCAUUGUUCCACGUGACAAGUUUCUUAGACGUUGCAGGGUGAAAUGUGAGGCUGUUCUUCAAUUGUAGCAGCAAAGAUUUCUGGGCGGCCUUAGAUAACUUGCGGCAAGUUGCAAACAUGGAAUAUUCAAAGCUCCCAAAUGGUGUUCGUCUCUUCGCAGAUUGGUUGUUGACUUUCUUGUUUUAUAUAUUGGAAAAAUAACCAUUCCCUUUCUUGAUCCAAAUUUUUUAGUGGCAUGCACAAUGCGUUUGAAGAUUUUGGAUACUUUUAAUUCUUUUUAUUGGAAAAAUAAAAAGUUUAUGGAGAUAUUA